rnacentral:rRNA from 1 species
CGGCAACAUUCCGAACCCGGAAGCUAAGCCUCUCAGCGCCGAUGGUACUGCCCUGGAGACGGGGUGGGAGAGUAGGACGCCGCCGGAC